rnacentral:rRNA from 1 species
UAACUUCGGGAAACCGGAGCUAAUACCGGAUAAUAUUUCGAACCGCAUGGUUCGAUAGUGAAAGGUGGUUUUGCUAUCACUUAUAGAUGGACCCGCGCCGUAUUAGCUAGUUGGUAAGGUAACGGCUUACCAAGGCGACGAUACGUAGCCGACCUGAGAGGGUGAUCGGCCACACUGGAACUGAGACACGGUCCAGACUCCUACGGGAGGCAGCAGGG